CCUACGGGAGGCAGCAGUGGGGGAUAUUGCACAAUGGGGGAAACCCUGAUGCAGCGACGCCGCGUGGGUGAAGAAGUAUUUCGGUAUGUAAAGCCCUAUCAGCAGGGAAGAAGAAAUGACGGUACCUGAGUAAGAAGCACGGGCUAAAUACGUGCCAGCAGCCGCGGUAAUACGUAGGGGGCAAGCGUUAUCCGGAUGUACUGGGUGUAAAGGGAGCGCAGGCGGCACGGCAAGCCUGAUGUGAAAGCCCGCGGCGCAACCGCGGGACUGCAUUGGAAACUGCCGGGCUGGAGUGCCGGAGAGGUAGGCGGAAUUCCUAGUGUAGCGGUGAAAUGCGUAGAUAUCAAGAGGAAUACUCAUUGCGAAGGCGACCUACUGGAACAUUACUGACGCUCAUGCACGAAAGCGUGGGGAGCAAACAGGAUUAGAUACCCCAGUAGUC
rnacentral:rRNA from 1 species